ACCCACUGAUGAAACUUGAUUCUGCCAGAUGAAUUACUAUGAUAUUACAAUUUCCGUUCCACUUUUGUCUGAGGUU
ensembl:snoRNA